rnacentral:rRNA from 1 species
AAAUUGAAGAGUUUGAUCAUGGCUCAGAUUGAACGCUGGCGGCAGGCCUAACACAUGCAAGUCGAGCGGUAGCACAGGAGAGCUUGCUCUCUGGGUGACGAGCGGCGGACGGGUGAGUAAUGUCUGGGAAACUGCCUGAUGGAGGGGGAUAACUACUGGAAACGGUAGCUAAUACCGCAUAACGUCUACGGACCAAAGUGGGGGACCUUCGGGCCUCACGCCAUCAGAUGUGCCCAGAUGGGAUUAGCUAGUAGGUGGGGUAAUGGCUCACCUAGGCGACGAUCCCUAGCUGGUCUGAGAGGAUGACCAGCCACACUGGAACUGAGACACGGUCCAGACUCCUACGGGAGGCAGCAGUGGGGAAUAUUGCACAAUGGGCGCAAGCCUGAUGCAGCCAUGCCGCGUGUGUGAAGAAGGCCUUAGGGUUGUAAAGCACUUUCAGCGAGGAGGAAGGGUAGUGUGUUAAUAGCACAUUGCAUUGACGUUACUCGCAGAAGAAGCACCGGCUAACUCCGUGCCAGCAGCCGCGGUAAUACGGAGGGUGCAAGCGUUAAUCGGAAUUACUGGGCGUAAAGCGCACGCAGGCGGUUUGUUAAGUCAGAUGUGAAAUCCCCGCGCUUAACGUGGGAACUGCAUUUGAAACUGGCAAGCUAGAGUCUUGUAGAGGGGGGUAGAAUUCCAGGUGUAGCGGUGAAAUGCGUAGAGAUCUGGAGGAAUACCGGUGGCGAAGGCGGCCCCUGGACAAAGACUGACGCUCAGGUGCGAAAGCGUGGGGAGCAAACAGGAUUAGAUACCCUGGUAGUCCACGCUGUAAACGAUGUCGAUUUGGAGGUUGUGCCCUUGAGGCGUGGCUUCCGGAGCUAACGCGUUAAAUCGACCGCCUGGGGAGUACGGCCGCAAGGUUAAAACUCAAAUGAAUUGACGGGGGCCCGCACAAGCGGUGGAGCAUGUGGUUUAAUUCGAUGCAACGCGAAGAACCUUACCUACUCUUGACAUCCAGAGAAUUCGCUAGAGAUAGCUUAGUGCCUUCGGGAACUCUGAGACAGGUGCUGCAUGGCUGUCGUCAGCUCGUGUUGUGAAAUGUUGGGUUAAGUCCCGCAACGAGCGCAACCCUUAUCCUUUGUUGCCAGCGAUUCGGUCGGGAACUCAAAGGAGACUGCCGGUGAUAAACCGGAGGAAGGUGGGGAUGACGUCAAGUCAUCAUGGCCCUUACGAGUAGGGCUACACACGUGCUACAAUGGCGUAUACAAAGAGAAGCGAACUCGCGAGAGCAAGCGGACCUCAUAAAGUACGUCGUAGUCCGGAUUGGAGUCUGCAACUCGACUCCAUGAAGUCGGAAUCGCUAGUAAUCGUAGAUCAGAAUGCUACGGUGAAUACGUUCCCGGGCCUUGUACACACCGCCCGUCACACCAUGGGAGUGGGUUGCAAAAGAAGUAGGUAGCUUAACCUUCGGGAGGGCGCUUACCACUUUGUGAUUCAUGACUGGGGUGAAGUCGUAACAAGGUAACCGUAGGGGAACCUGCGGUUGGAUCACCUCCUUA